CCACUUCGUCUCUCUCGUGCUUAAACUUAUUUUACAGUUAUAUUGUUAUUAGAUAAAAAUAUUCUACAAACAAUCAAACUUUUUUUUCUCAAUGAGUAAGGAUGAGUGGAUGACGUCCCAUUAGCAAGCCAUUGGUGGCAUGAAGAAUUUUCCCUUAUAUGAGGAUGAUUAUGUUUUCGUUUGCAUGAUUUGAAAGAAAACUAAGGUUUGCUAAUUCAACGAACUUGAUGGAAAAUUUCUAAAAAGGUAUUAUAUUUCUUCUACUUCUUCUUUUGUUUAAUCCAACGAACUAAGGUUUGCUAAUCCAACGAAUCUUCUGUUUCUUAUUCUUUUCUAAAAUUACAGUUUCUUGUCUUUUGUUUAUGACUUAAAGAUCUUUAUUUGUUAAAGUUCAUUAUCUUCUGGUUUUCUAACCAUUACAGAUUAUACUGGAAACAUAUGUCGAGAGAAAGGGUUCUGAUGGUUUGAUUAUGUUGAUUUCAGCAGAAGCGUUAGGUGUUGGAGGAGGAAACUAAUUCUGGUCAGGUGUAAAUGUAUUCUUCGGGAAAAAAUGACUGAUCAUAACUGUCCAGAAGUAUAUGAGAAGAUGGAAGUCUACAAGAAGAAGAAAAAAAGACAAUUUCGGUUGAAGGACUC
rnacentral:lncRNA from 1 species